rnacentral:lncRNA from 1 species
UCAGGGAACUACAGAACCUUCCUCCUCUCGCUCGUCGGCCAGGACCGCUAAGGCGCUCCCGUGCAUGCUCAAUCGAUCCCACCACAUGCAUGGUGGCGCCGAGGCUGCCAUCCAUGAUCAAUUGAUUGAUACUGGGGGGCACAAUAAUCUGAAAUAAGGAGCAAAAGAAGAUUGUAUUAUUCCUGUGGAAUCAACACAAUUGUUCUAUGUUCACUUUUACAAAUAUGGAGCAUCAGUACCUUCACAAUUUUCAAAUGUCACGAUCAAUAUAGUUAUUUUUAAUAUGGUAGUGCCCCUUCA